GACGAACGCUGGCGGCGUGCUUAACACAUGCAAGUCGAACGGAAAGGCCCUGCUUGCAGGGUGCUCGAGUGGCGAACGGGUGAGUAACACGUGGGUGAUCUGCCCCUUAUUUUGGGAUAAGCCUGGGAAACUGGGUCUAAUACUGGAUAGGACCAUGCUGUAGGUGGUGUGGUGGAAAGAUUAGUUUCGGUAAGGGAUGAGCUCGCGGCCUAUCAGCUUGUUGGUGGGGUAAUGGCCUACCAAGGCGUCGACGGGUAGCCGGCCUGAGAGGGUGGACGGCCACAUUGGGACUGAGAUACGGCCCAGACUCCUACGGGAGGCAGCAGUGGGGAAUAUUGCACAAUGGGCGCAAGCCUGAUGCAGCGACGCCGCGUGGGGGAUGACGGCCUUCGGGUUGUAAACUCCUUUCAGCCAUGACGAAGCCCUUGUGGUGACGGUAGUGGUAGAAGAAGCACCGGCUAACUACG
rnacentral:rRNA from 1 species